UACAAGCAAUGUAAACUUUGUGACAGUUGACUAAGCUCGCAAAAUUAAUUUCUCAAAAAUAUCAACGUGAUUGCAAAAAAAAAAAAAAAUUACCAACACCUUUUUUAUUAAAAAAGAUAAUGUAACUCUUAAGAGAAAAAUUGUAACAUAAGUAAUCAUUUUCAUCAAUGUAAAUUUAUUUAUUUUUUUUUUUAAAUAUGAGUUUAGCAGUGUGGUGUAUUCAAACUUUUAUUUUGCGGCCAUUACAAAAAUUAUGGCUGAUGUGCAAAAGAAGGACAAUUGCCUGGAAGACGCAAAUUAUGUGAUAAAAGCUGUUACAAUUUUUUUUUUUUUUAUAAAAUAGGAAAUCUCGCCUACAACGAAAUGGAAAUGCAAUUAAUUAUUUCUUUAAAGGCUUUUUCUUAAACUUAAAAAUUAUUGAUAAAAAAAUUUGUACAUAUCAAUAUUUUCUAUCAACUGACAAAUACAAUUUUUUUUUUCCAACUGAUAAUUUGAAUUAAAAUGUAUAAAUAAUUAUUAAAAAAUUUCAUAAUAUAAAA